GAUUUAACGCAGAACUUCAAACUGUUGAAACGAAAGCAGUCCACUCCGUUAAAGCGGAACCUUAUCAGAACAACAGCUGGGAUGGAUACGGCUGAACCGAACCCUCCAGACCCCAACACAGAAUCUGGACCGGGACUUGCAGAACAAACCCGUGAGACGGGAGAACACGACCCGCAGUAACAACCCAGGGUUUCCCUCCGUCCGGAACCGAACAGACACUCAAAGCACCGUCUCCAGGAACAACUCCUCACGUCUCAUGUUUGCCUCAUUCUGUCUCUGAGGACGCCCAGAAGGCGCCACCUCAGUCUCAACUUCCUGUUUCAAGUUCUCCAAGGCGCUCAAGGAAGCCUUGACCGCCAGAGCUCUGGAGCCUGCACAAACUCUGUUUUUAUCUAUUUUAUGCUUCUAUCCCUCCUUCGGAGGUCCAACCGGUUCAGGUUUGACGUUCUGAUGUUGUUCUUCCAUUCUUCUGGUCUGCCUGCGCUCAGGUUCAACAUCAACCCCAACCAUGGCGGUAAAAACUUUUAAACGGGGUGAUAAUUUUCUCAUUAUCACAAAACAACACGACAGAAUGCAGGAACUUCAUUUGUUUUUGGUACGACUUACAGUCAUAGUGACGUAGAUCCGUCUGUGACUUCAUGCACAUCUUUAUAUAUUAAAUUAAACGCAAUUUGGUUUUGUCGUAUCAACUUACAUCUCAAAGUAUUUCAUAAGACAAGUCAGUGCAGUUUAUAUUUUAAGUGAUGCACAUUAUUCCAAACCUUCAAGAAGUGACGAUGUAAAAAUGAAACAUUACUCAGAAGAAAAGAAUGUCUUUAUUCAUGAAAAAGAUGAAUGAAAAAGGUUUACAGAAAAAUGAAAACAUUACAAUGUUUCUAAUGCAGUAUUUAUCAAAUAGGAGCACAUAUGGCUGCAUUCACUAGUGUGCAUGUUUGAAUGCUACAUGCUAAAAGCUACAUUCAGCAGGAAUUCAUG